AUGCCCCAAAUGGCAUCCCACUCCACAGCUCAGAAAGCAAAGAUAGACCCGAAACCCACUCUGUUCAACCGUUUUUCAAACUGACUCCCGGCUCCCUGAAGCAUUGUCAUUCUGCAAUGUCAAUGGGAUAGUCUGGCAAGAGACAUUGUACA